UCUCCGUUGGUGAACCAGCGGAGGGAUCAUUACCGAGUUUACAACUCCCAAACCCCAUGUGAACCGAAACCUGUUGCUUCGGGGGCGACCCUGCCUUUCGGCGCGGCGCCCCCGGAGGCUCAUCAAACACUGCAUCUCUGCGUCGGAGUCUUAAUGAAUUUAAACAAAACUUUUAACAACGGAUCUCUUGGUUCUGGCAUCGAUGAAGAACGCAGC
rnacentral:misc_RNA from 1 species